CGCUGGUCUCUGCACGGUCAGCCGGUCAGGCUGCGGAGCUUCGCGUGGACGCGGCCUCUGCAGAGAACUUCGUUCGCACGGACGUGGACAGCUUGUUGACUGUUAAUUCUAGUGACACAUUUUCUUAAGCUGCAGGCUGAUAGCACAUUUUCCGUGAAUGUUGGUUUUGGAGGACUCAAGCUGCAUCUCCUCGACUAUUUCACUUCCAGAAGAUAAUCGGAAUUUCUGAGUUCCAAUUUAAAAAUCCUACGAAAAUUUGGUUGGGAUUGCUUUAAACUUAUAAAUCAAUUUUAUUGUCCUGGAUGACAAUAGAAUAGAAACAGCUCAGCCUGGCACAGUGACCCACACCCAUAAUCCCAGCUCUCUGGGAGGUCAAAGGAGGAGGAUGGUUCUCACAUUGUGGUUCAGGCUGGCCUUGAACUCACUGUGUAGCCCAGGCUGGCCUCAGACUCACAAUGACCCUCCUACCUCAGCCUCCAGAGUGCUAGGAUCACAGGUGUGCACCACCACACCUGGCUAUUGUGACAGUCCUGACUCCUAUUGAAAUAAAGUCUUC